rnacentral:rRNA from 1 species
UACGUAGGUGGCGAGCGUUGUCCGGAUUUACUGGGCGUAAAGAGCGCGCAGGCGGUCGUUCAAGUCGCGUGUGAAAGCCCCCCGGCUCAACUGGGGAGGGUCACGCGAUACUGAUCGACUCGAAGGCAGGAGAGGGUAGUGGAAUUCCCGGUGUAGUGGUGAAAUGCGUAGAUAUCGGGAGGAACACCAGUGGCGAAGGCGGCGACCUGGGCCAAUACUGACGCUGAGGUGCGAAGCGUGGGGAGCAAACAGG